rnacentral:misc_RNA from 1 species
AAGUCGUAACAAGGUUUCCGUAGGAUGGCGCAGUAACGCUGGAGGCCGACACGGCCGGCGACCAGGUCACUGGGCUACGGAAACGGGCCUGCGCUGAGGUGCGGCCACCCCUAAUGCUUGAACAACUGUUAACAAUGGAUAUCUUGGUUCUC